rnacentral:rRNA from 1 species
ACGAACGCUGGCGGCGUGCUUAACCCAUGCAAGUCGAACGGUGAAGCUCCAGCUUGCUGGAGUGGAUCAGUGGCGAACGGGUGAGUAACACGUGAGCAACCUGCCCCUGACUCUGGAAUAAGCGCUGGAAACGGCGUCUAAUACUGGAUACGAGAAGGGUCCGCAUGGGCACUUUCUGGAAAGUUUUUCGGUUGGGGAUGGGCUCGCGGCCUAUCAGCUUGUUGGUGAGGUAAUGGCUCACCAAGGCGACGACGGGUAGCCGGCCUGAGAGGGCGACCGGCCACACUGGGACUGAGACACGGCCCAGACUCCUACGGGAGGCAGCAGUGGGGAAUAUUGCACAAUGGGCGAAAGCCUGACGCAGCGACGCCGCGUGAGGGAUGACGGCCUUCGGGUUGUAAACCUCUUUCAGCAGGGAAGAAGCGAAAGUGACGGUACCUGCAGAAGAAGCACCGGCUAACUACGUG